UAGGGAAUAUUGGUCAAUGGAUGGAAGUCUGAACCAGCCAUGCCGCGUGCAGGAAGAAGGCCUUCUGGGUUGUAAACUGCUUUUGCCAGGGGAUAAAAUGCUUGUGCGCAAGCAAUUGAAGGUACCUGGUGAAUAAGCCACGGCUAACUACGUGCCAGCAGCCGCGGUAAUACGUAGGUGGCAAGCGUUGUCCGGAUUUAUUGGGUUUAAAGGGUGCGUAGGCGGUCUAUUAAGUCAGUGGUGAAAUACUCCAGCUUAACUGGAGGGGUGCCAUUGAUACUGAUGGACUUGAGUGAAGUCGAGGUAGGCGGAAUUGACGGUGUAGCGGUGAAAUGCUUAGAUAUCGUCAAGAACACCAAUAGUGAAGACAGCUUACUAGGCUUAUACUGACGCUGAGGCACGAAAGUGUGGGGAUCAAACAG
rnacentral:rRNA from 1 species